rnacentral:rRNA from 1 species
GACGAACGCUGGCGGCGUGCUUAACACAUGCAAGUCGAACGGAAAGGCCCUGCUUUUGUGGGGUGCUCGAGUGGCGAACGGGUGAGUAACACGUGAGUAACCUGCCCUUGACUUUGGGAUAACUUCAGGAAACUGGGACUAAUACCGGAUAGGAGCUCCUGCUGCAUGGUGGGGGUUGGAAAGUUUCGGCGGUUGGGGAUGGACUCGCGGCUUAUCAGCUUGUUGGUGGGGUAGUGGCUUACCAAGGCUUUGACGGGUAGCCGGCCUGAGAGGGUGACCGGCCACAUUGGGACUGAGAUACGGCCCAGACGCCUACGGGAGGCAGCAGUGGGGAAUAUUGCACAAUGGGCGGAAGCCUGAUGCAGCAACGCCGCGUGCGGGAUGACGGCCUUCGGGGUGUAAACCGCUUUCGCCUGUGACGAAGCGUGAGUGACGGUAAUGGGUAAAGAAGCACCGGCUAACUACG